CCUACGGGUGGCAGCAGUGAGGAAUAUUGGUCAAUGGACGAGAGUCUGAACCAGCCAAGUAGCGUGAAGGAUGACUGCCCUCUGGGUUGUAAACUUCUUUUAUAUGGGAAUAAAAUGUUCCGCGUGUGGGCUUUUGUAUGUACCAUAUGCAUAAGGAUAGGCUAACUCCGGGCCAGCAGCCGCGGUAAUACGGAGGAUCCGGGCGUUAUCCUGAUUUAUUGGGUUUAACGGGAGAGUAGGUGGAGUGUUAAGUCAGUUGUGAAGGUUUGCGGCUCAACCGUAAAAUGGCAGUUGAAACUGGUAGUCUUGAGUACAGUAGAGGUGGGCGGAAUUCGUGGUGUAGCGGUGAAAUGCUUAG
rnacentral:rRNA from 1 species